UUAAGCGACUAAGCGUACACGGUGGAUGCCCUGGCAGUCAGAGGCGAUGAAGGACGUGCUAAUCUGCGAUAAGCGUCGGUGAGGUGAUAUGAACCGUUAUAACCGGCGAUUUCCGAAUGGGGAAACCCAGUGUGUUUCGACACACUAUCAUUAACUGAAUCCAUAGGUUAAUGAGGCGAACCGGGGGAACUGAAACAUCUAAGUACCCCGAGGAAAAGAAAUCAACCGAGAUUCCCCCAGUAGCGGCGAGCGAACGGGGAGGAGCCCAGAGCCUGAAUCAGUGUGUGUGUUAGUGGAAGCGUCUGGAAAGGCGUGCGAUACAGGGUGACAGCCCCGUACACAAAAAUGCACAUAUUGUGAGCUCGAUGAGUAGGGCGGGACACGUGGUAUCCUGUCUGAAUAUGGGGGGACCAUCCUCCAAGGCUAAAUACUCCUGACUGACCGAUAGUGAACCAGUACCGUGAGGGAAAGGCGAAAAGAACCCCGGCGAGGGGAGUGAAAAAGAACCUGAAACCGUGUACGUACAAGCAGUGGGAGCCUCUUAAUGGGGUGACUGCGUACCUUUUGUAUAAUGGGUCAGCGACUUAUAUUCUGUAGCAAGGUUAACCGAAUAGGGGAGCCGAAGGGAAACCGAGUCUUAACUGGGCGUUAAGUUGCAGGGUAUAGACCCGAAACCCGGUGAUCUAGCCAUGGGCAGGUUGAAGGUUGGGUAACACUAACUGGAGGACCGAACCGACUAAUGUUGAAAAAUUAGCGGAUGACUUGUGGCUGGGGGUGAAAGGCCAAUCAAACCGGGAGAUAGCUGGUUCUCCCCGAAAGCUAUUUAGGUAGCGCCUCGUGAAUUCAUCUCCGGGGGUAGAGCACUGUUUCGGCAAGGGGGUCAUCCCGACUUACCAACCCGAUGCAAACUGCGAAUACCGGAGAAUGUUAUCACGGGAGACACACGGCGGGUGCUAACGUCCGUCGUGAAGAGGGAAACAACCCAGACCGCCAGCUAAGGUCCCAAAGUCAUGGUUAAGUGGGAAACGAUGUGGGAAGGCCCAGACAGCCAGGAUGUUGGCUUAGAAGCAGCCAUCAUUUAAAGAAAGCGUAAUAGCUCACUGGUCGAGUCGGCCUGCGCGGAAGAUGUAACGGGGCUAAACCAUGCACCGAAGCUGCGGCAGCGACACUAUGUGUUGUUGGGUAGGGGAGCGUUCUGUAAGCCUGUGAAGGUGGCCUGUGAGGGUUGCUGGAGGUAUCAGAAGUGCGAAUGCUGACAUAAGUAACGAUAAAGCGGGUGAAAAGCCCGCUCGCCGGAAGACCAAGGGUUCCUGUCCAACGUUAAUCGGGGCAGGGUGAGUCGACCCCUAAGGCGAGGCCGAAAGGCGUAGUCGAUGGGAAACAGGUUAAUAUUCCUGUACUUGGUGUUACUGCGAAGGGGGGACGGAGAAGGCUAUGUUGGCCGGGCGACGGUUGUCCCGGUUUAAGCGUGUAGGCUGGUUUUCCAGGCAAAUCCGGAAAACCAAGGCUGAGGCGUGAUGACGAGGCACUACGGUGCUGAAGUGACAAAUGCCCUGCUUCCAGGAAAAGCCUCUAAGCAUCAGGUAACAUCAAAUCGUACCCCAAACCGACACAGGUGGUCAGGUAGAGAAUACCAAGGCGCUUGAGAGAACUCGGGUGAAGGAACUAGGCAAAAUGGUGCCGUAACUUCGGGAGAAGGCACGCUGAUAUGUAGGUGAAGCGACUUGCUCGUGGAGCUGAAAUCAGUCGAAGAUACCAGCUGGCUGCAACUGUUUAUUAAAAACACAGCACUGUGCAAACACGAAAGUGGACGUAUACGGUGUGACGCCUGCCCGGUGCCGGAAGGUUAAUUGAUGGGGUUAGCGGUAACGCGAAGCUCUUGAUCGAAGCCCCGGUAAACGGCGGCCGUAACUAUAACGGUCCUAAGGUAGCGAAAUUCCUUGUCGGGUAAGUUCCGACCUGCACGAAUGGCGUAAUGAUGGCCAGGCUGUCUCCACCCGAGACUCAGUGAAAUUGAACUCGCUGUGAAGAUGCAGUGUACCCGCGGCAAGACGGAAAGACCCCGUGAACCUUUACUAUAGCUUGACACUGAACAUUGAGCCUUGAUGUGUAGGAUGGGUGGGAGGCUUUGAAGUGUGGACGCCAGUCUGCAUGGAGCCGACCUUGAAAUACCACCCUUUAAUGUUUGAUGUUCUAACGUUGGCCCGUAAUCCGGGUUGCGGACAGUGUCUGGUGGGUAGUUUGACUGGGGCGGUCUCCUCCUAAAGAGUAACGGAGGAGCACGAAGGUUGGCUAAUCCUGGUCGGACAUCAGGAGGUUAGUGCAAUGGCAUAAGCCAGCUUGACUGCGAGCGUGACGGCGCGAGCAGGUGCGAAAGCAGGUCAUAGUGAUCCGGUGGUUCUGAAUGGAAGGGCCAUCGCUCAACGGAUAAAAGGUACUCCGGGGAUAACAGGCUGAUACCGCCCAAGAGUUCAUAUCGACGGCGGUGUUUGGCACCUCGAUGUCGGCUCAUCACAUCCUGGGGCUGAAGUAGGUCCCAAGGGUAUGGCUGUUCGCCAUUUAAAGUGGUACGCGAGCUGGGUUUAGAACGUCGUGAGACAGUUCGGUCCCUAUCUGCCGUGGGCGCUGGAGAACUGAGGGGGGCUGCUCCUAGUACGAGAGGACCGGAGUGGACGCAUCACUGGUGUUCGGGUUGUCAUGCCAAUGGCACUGCCCGGUAGCUAAAUGCGGAAGAGAUAAGUGCUGAAAGCAUCUAAGCACGAAACUUGCCCCGAGAUGAGUUCUCCCUGACUCCUUGAGGGUCCUGAAGGAACGUUGAAGACGACGACGUUGAUAGGCCGGGUGUGUAAGCGCAGCGAUGCGUUGAGCUAACCGGUACUAAUGAACCGUGAGGCUUAACCUU
rnacentral:rRNA from 2 species